rnacentral:rRNA from 1 species
AGAGUUUGAUCCUGGCUCAGAUUGAACGCUGGCGGCAUGCCUUACACAUGCAAGUCGAACGGCAGCACGGGGGCAACCCUGGUGGCGAGUGGCGAACGGGUGAGUAACAUAUCGGAACAUACCCUAGAGUGGGGGAUAACGUAGCGAAAGUUACGCUAAUACCGCAUACGAUCUAAGGAUGAAAGUGGGGGAUCUUCGGACCUCAUGCUCAUGGAGUGGCCGAUAUCUGAUUAGCUAGUUGGUGAGGUAAAGGCUCACCAAGGCGACGAUCAGUAGCUGGUUUGAGAGAACGACCAGCCACACUGGAACUGAGACACGAUCCAGACUCCUACGGGAGGCAGCAGUGGGGAAUUUUGGACAAUGGGGGCAACCCUGAUCCAGCAAUGCCGCGUGAGUGAAGAAGGCCUUCGGGUUGUAAAGCUCUUUUGUCAGGGAAGAAACGGUGAGUUCUAAUACAGCUUGCUAAUGACGGUACCUGAAGAAUAAGCACCGGCUAACUACGUGCCAGCAGCCGCGGUAAUACGUAGGGUGCAAGCGUUAAUCGGAAUUACUGGGCGUAAAGCGUGCGCAGGCGGUUAUAUAAGUCAGAUGUGAAAUCCCUGGGCUCAACCUAGGAACUGCAUUUGAGACUGUAUGGCUAGAGUGUGUCAGAGGGGGGUAGAAUUCCACGUGUAGCAGUGAAAUGCGUAGAGAUGUGGAGGAAUACCGAUGGCGAAGGCAGCCCCCUGGGAUAACACUGACGCUCAUGCACGAAAGCGUGGGGAGCAAACAGGAUUAGAUACCCUGGUAGUCCACGCCCU